rnacentral:misc_RNA from 1 species
UCCGGCUUAUCACCGGCAGUCUCUCACGAGUCCCCGCCAUAAAGCGCUGGCAACACGAGACAAGGGUUGCGCUCGUUGCGGGACUUAACCCAACAUCUCACGACACGAGCUGACGACAGCCAUGCACCACCUGCACACAGGCCACAAGGGAACCGACAUCUCUGCCGGCGUCCUGUGCAUGUCAAACCCAGGUAAGGUUCUUCGCGUUGCAUCGAAUUAAUCCACAUGCUCCGCCGCUUGUGCGGGCCCCCGUCAAUUUCUUUGAGUUUUAGCCUUGCGGCCGUACUCCCCAGGCGGGGUACUUAAUGCGUUAGCUACGGCACGGAACCCGUUGAUAAGGUCCCACACCUAGUGCCCAACGUUUACGGCGUGGACUAC